rnacentral:lncRNA from 1 species
AGGAGCAGUAAGCAGGCUAUGUCCAUGGGAUGCUAUAUUUACCUGCAGAGAGAUCCUUCUGUGUCCUAGAGGUUUGUGUGCUCUGACUGCUGUAACUUUCUGUACAGAGCCGUGGUGAACUGCCACUCCUGCUUUGCCAUCUCUCUAAGGGAGUUCUUUGAUUUUCAUUAACAACUCUGCCACCAUCCCAUUCAUAAUUCAAUCAAAACUCCUGGGAUGGCAGCUGUCAUAGUGGUGCUUAUGACCACUUGUUUCAAUGUUCUCACUGAACCUGGAGUGUACGAGAAAGUGCAGGCAUGACCUAGUGGCCAGCCUUCCUGGCACGCUAUACUUCUAACUAAGAAGCAUGGCACCCCAUGCUACUGAGUAUUCCCAGAAGCCUCAACUCUGAAUUCUGUAGUAAUGGAAAAUGGUGAUGAAAAACUAUAGGUUCCAUAAAAAUUGAAACAAAUCUUAUAUGAAUAAGAGAAGUGUCUACAUGAGAGGCUGGCUCAUAGGAGGAAGGGAUGCAGAAGGAAAGCAAUCCAGAUGACACAGAAACCUGAAACCCCUGCAUGCAGACAGCUCAACAUACUGGCUGAAGAAAAAAAAAAAAAAAAAACAGAUCAUUCCUCAGCCGGGCAGGCUGGAAAAGCUUCAGUUUACCUUCUGAUUUUCAUAUGAGCUAUCCAAUUUAUAUAUUAGUAUCUCU